UUUCCCCUCUUUUAGUUUGAAACCAUUUCCCCUUGUCCUGUCACAGCAAUCUCUGCCACGGGGUCCACCCCCUUCCUUCUUACAGCCCCUCUUUAGAUACCAGGAGAUCACUGUGAUGGGAGUCUGGAUGCUGUAGGUUCAGACCAAACGUGUGCCAGAACAUUUAAUUAGACGUGAAAUACCUGUGAGGUGAAACCACAGUUAUGGCAAUAGAAGAAAAACAGAGGAAGGGUCUUCAGUUUGGUCAAAGAGGGAAGCAAAGCAUGGGGGUGCAAAGGGAACAGGCAAUGCUGGUCCUGCUGGCAGUGUUCCCAGCGGGGCUUGAUUGGUCUGGCAGAGGGGAUACAGAAGAUGCUGCAAGAGACAUGUUUUGUGUGGAAGUUCCAGGCAGCUGUUGACAGCACUUGGAGGAAACACUGGGGCGGCUUUCUGUCAAAAGGACAGCUUAACAGGCGGGCAAGCUGCCUGCAGCAUUUCAGGCCAAGGAUCCCCUGCCUCUGCAGCACAGACGUGUCUGUGGAAGAUCGUAAGAGGAGGCUUAAUCAGCCCAGCAGCGCUUAGUGAGGUCUGCAGCACAAGGCAAGAAACUCCCGCCGUGAUACAAAGCCAAGGGAAGGGAGGCAACAUGCUGCUUGGAAGCAGGCCCAGUGCAAGCGAUAAAGGCAGCGAACGCUCUGAUGGCAGCAGCUGCAGGCAGGGCAGGGCAGCAGCACAAGGUGAGGAACAUCUGAGUGGGCACUAUUUGCUCUUCUGCACAAGCUGCAUGACUUUUGACUGCAAGGAAGGAAUGACCAAAAGCACCAGAACCUCAUUUGUGCCAAAAAUUAGCACUAGUGUUGUGUUAAUCAGUCUUUACUGAUGAACAGACCUGGUGUGAAGGAUGAGGUGGUGAGGAAAGGCUCCCUUCCUUGCCAUGCUUGCCCCCAGCAGGCCCACGACCUUGCUGCCACUGGAGAUGUGUGGGCAGAGCUGCUCACAGCACCUGACUGUUCCAUGAGAUGAUAUUCAGAUACAGUGUGAACUGGGGCUGCGUGGAUGAGCUGUCAUUGCUGGCAAGCCUGCAUUUUAUGGACAUUACUUCCAGUGUGCAUGUGUGGGCAUUCCAUUAACGCCUGUUGGAUCCCCAGUACACAUGUGCAGAAAUACAUGUGCUUCUGUGAGUGCUUUUCUUUUUUUGCAUUUUGCAGCUUGGCUGAGCACAGCUGUGCUUUGGAAGCUGCAGUAGAUGCUUCACGCUGUGCCUGAUGCGAAGCAGCCCAGAGCUCUACAUGCGCUUGGAAAUUGCUCAGCAACAAGAAACUACCGAUAGCAAUCGCUUCUCUUCCCAAACAUACAGUUUCUCUUCUUUUUAUUCCGGUAACAGUUUAUUCCUGCAGAGUGAUUUUCAUGAACAUCAUUACUACCCUGUUGCAGCAGAAACUUAAUCUCUCUGAACAAGAGCAGCUGAGCAGCAAUGAGUCACCCUCUGCUUCCAGUAAGGAAGCCCCUUCAGGAAGCCUCUCUAGCAAUGAUGUCCUGCUCAGCCCUGACCAGCCUCUGAGCUAUUCAGCCCUAACAAUGUUGACAGCGUGUAAUACUGCCCCCGGAAGCCUUCAGAGAUUGCUUGUCAGGCACAGCCGGUGUCUCCAGUACCCAGGCAACUAAUCUAACAGCAGAUAGAUCUUGGGUGAGGAAGCCAGGGGAAAGGAGGCACCCUCUUGGCUAUCGAAGAGACCGAAAGGCACAGAAGUCAUUUCUUUAGCACCAGUGGCAACCUGGCAUGCAGUCAGAAAAAUUAGAGACUGCCUCUGGAGAUUGUGAAGCCAGCUGAGCUGCUGAAAACAAUGGUGCUGCUAAAGUGGACUGGGAGAGGAGAGGCUUUAAGGGCAGACAUGAGGGCACAGUGGAGCUGAUGUGUGAGUUGCCACAGAAGAGCAUCUUUGGAGUACUGUACUGAGCCUGUAAUAAAAAAGGCUCAGUAUCCCAAAAGCCUUUUAUCCCAGGACGAUCGACAUUUUUCAGGAUGGAGAAAGGGAGAAAGUUCAUUGGCCAUUAAUUUUUAAUUAUAAUGGAGUGUUCUGUAGUGAUAGAUAGUUUCCACUGUACUGGCUGUCUUCAGCACAUAGUGGCCCACUGGAAACCUGCUCACUGAUAAGGCUGUCACAAGAGGAGUACAGAAGAAGGUGGAAAAUAAAAUACUGUUACACAAACAGUGCAUUUCUGUUCAAGUGCUCUGCUGCUACUAAGUCAUAGGUUAUUAGGCCUGCGUUUCCUUAGGCAUUAUUAGGCCUAUUCGUUUCCUUAGGCACAAGAAGGUGCUGCAGCAUAUACUGCAAGGUGCCAGAAUAUGCUGCCUCUGUAGUUCCUGCGGAGCAAAAAGAAGCAGCUCUCUAAUGAAAACCUGAGCCUUGGGGUUGGGCAAAGAAGGCCUGUUGCCUCCCAGAAGCAGAAGCCACCAUCUGUGGUGCACAGCCUGUGGCACGGCCUGCUGCUGCUGGUGGUCAGGUCUUAGGGAGGCCUGCAUGGGCCCGGCCUGGCUCCCUCCCCUCCCAUCCAUUUUUGAAAGGUCUCUUCUUCCUUGGAAAGUAAAAUAUAUGAUCAAGAAGUGGGUGACCCAAGCCUUGGAGUGUAUCCCAUGUGCCUUGUUUCUGCUGCUAGUAGAAGCCCAGAGAAGGUGACUGGGUUUAUGGUAUUGUUCUAGCUGGGGACCAGGAGAUCUCCCAAGCCCAGCAUAGCUCCCAUAGCUCUCUUCUCCCUGUGAGCUCUCAAAGAAAGUCAUUUCUUCAUUUCACAAGGUCUCAGAGCAGCCUCCCCACACCACAGAGCCUUCUGGUGGCUCUGGGCAUUGUACCUAAUGAGCUGACAGCAGGUUAGUUGCUGCAAGCCUGUCCCUAUGGGGCUGCAAAUCCUGCCUUAACCAAGCUGACUGGUACUUCUGCUUCUCUGCAUCUGCAACGAGCCCUGGAUUGCUGCAGAGGAUACAGCAGAACUGAGAGGAAAACAGCAGCAGCAGUGCCUGGAGUGCUGCAGGAUGUCACCAGGAGCUGCCUAGGCUGGGCUGAUGUCCUUUGUCUGCUGCAUGACCAUAUCCUGGAGAGAGGAAGGGAAGCAGGCAGAUCUCCCUCCAGCCUCAUGAAGCACUGGAACCUUGAGUGAGCAGGGAGCCCAAGAGCAAUACCUGUGUCUGCUUCCAUUUGGGUCACUGUUUGUUGCAGGAGUACAAUCCCUCCAAACACUCGUGUGGCUGCUGUAUUAUUUAACAAGCCUCCUGCUUAGGAAAAAAAGCAUAAAAAUGGAGAUGCUGGAAACAGAGGAUCCUGCUGUAGGCUGCUCCAUAAUACCUUCCUGUUCUGUGAAGAUGCGGUAAUGGAUGUUUUCACCACAGCCUCACUCCACUCGUGGUGACGAGUUCCCGUAUCCUGUACUUCGCUUGUACUACACUGCAAGCUUGUGCUCAUCCACUUCAAUGUGUGUUCUGUGAGGCAGCUGAUUCCACUUCCUUUAAAGCACCCAGAGAAGGACCCUCCAGCACUAGCAGAGAAGGCACAUGUCUCUUUAUGGCUUACCCCUCAGGUUUUGAAGCUGAGAAAUUUACUUUUUGCCUGGGGAAAAUAUUAGCCAGCAUCACUAGUAGGUUAAAGUCUUUGGUCACAGGUUUCACUAUAUUUGACAUUACAGACAUUAAGAAUUUUUUCAUGCUGUCCAAGAAGAAAAUAUACUGAUGUUCUUAUAUGUUAUCUCUUACUGUCAUUAACAAAUGAGACUUCAGAAAAGGUUUGACCAUCAGAUUGGUUUUUAUUGCCAUGCUGUGAAAGAUUGGGACCUGGUGCAAAUCAAUACCCAUUUUGUCUUCUUUCUUCAUGCCCUUCCUGCUUCCUCUGUGAAUGACAGAACUUAGAGGCUUUCAGCUCAAAACCCCCUGAUGGGAUGAAUGACUUGUCAAAGUGGGAUCACACUGGCUGGAAGAAUCCACGCUGCAGAGCUCAGGACCAUGCGGGCAUCUUGCUGUCCAGAAGUUCCAGAUGAAUUCAGCUCCUGAUCUUCUCACCCUGGUUUGAAGUGGGAACUGCUGUAUAGCUUGCUCUCUUACUCUUCUGACCCUCUAUGUUUUAUGCAUCUAGCGAUGUCAUUCCUUAACGUAAUCUACUUAUAAGAGUAUGGCAUUUUCUAUAAUCAGAUAAUCUUGAUGGUAUAAAGAAAUAAAAUGCUAAUAAGUAAAAAGGCAUCCCAAGGAAGGAUGCCUGACCCAAAAUUGUCUUCAUAAAAGGCAUCUCUUUAAAUGGAGACACCAGUCUAUGUUACCCGCAAAGACCAGUAAUCGCAGACCUAAUUGUAAGGGCUUUCUCCAUGUGUGUACUACAAAACUUGGGAAUCAUUUGCCCAAAAGAAAAGCAUACAUCGAUCAGGGAAAUAAAAGCUUUGCCACUGAUCCUCUGAGAGGUGACGGCUAUUAGCAGAAAGAAACUCAAAACUGAUCUAGAAAGUGCAAUGUGAAGAGCUUCUGAAGAUGUCACACACCACUGAAUAUAAGGACAAAGCCGUGUGCUCUCAGCUUCUAUCAGUCGUGUAACAAGAAGGGUGUUUCUACCUGAAGUACAGACAUCUGGCUUCCUAUUCAAGCAUCACAAGCAAUCUCCUCCGGUAACACAAGCUGCUUGCCCCAUCCCAAAGUUAGAGCUCAUCUGGUAGAACCAUCUGGUUUUGAGUUGUCUUGUCACUAUCCGUCUUGUGAAAGAUAUUUUCAGGAUGCUAACAACUCCAUCCAAAAAGUUCCUCAGUUUUGUCACCCAUGAUCGCAUAUAUUUAGAUGCCAUAUGCCCUGUAUUCUCCUUCUCCGGAAGCUCUGGGUUGAUUUGUGCCAAGAACUGAAUGUAAGAAAUUUGCCUUUUGUGUGCUAUUGUUCAUAGACUCUCGCUCAGCCCCUGGGACUGAGGCGUAACGUAUAUGCGUACAUACUUGAAAAUAGAUUGUCUUGGUGUCCCACUCACAAACUGUGAGGCAACCCGCCUCCCCCACUCCAUGAUGGGAGUCAUUUUGCCAUUUGGGGUUUAUGAAGCAAGAUCCCUGCUAACCCUCUUGUUCUCUGAAAUGCUAUAUAUUGUCUUCCCUUUCAUCCCAGCCUACAGGCAGAACCAGCAUGUGAGGAUGUACAAAGCAUGAUUCAAUGUCAUGCAAAAAUUCUGCUGAACUUCUCACGUUCUGCAGCAAUAGCAAUCUUUGUCUGGUCCAUGACCGGAGAAAGCAAGCUCCGAAGUGUGCAACGCGUGGUUGACCUUACUUUCAAACACCCACAUGCACACUCAAAACCCCAGAGAACUCAUUACAUUCACGGUCUAGAAACUGGUGUUUUGUUCUCCGUCCCCACUCUGUCUGCCUUCGGAUGAAUGCAAUUGAAAAUGUCAGAGAUGCAGCUCCUAUGUAACGUAAGAGGAGGAUUACAGCUUUCCUGACAUCGAAGGUGGGGGGGGAGGGAGGUUACAACAAUGUCUCUGACGUAGGAAAAGACAUAUUACAGUACAUCUGACAUAGUAAGAAUUAUAGAAAAUGUAUUUACAGCGAUGGAUGGAAAAUGAAUUUAAUAUGCUGUUCCAGAGGAGGACAAUAAAGGUGUGUUGCAACAGUUC